UACGGGGGGUGCGAGCGUUGUCCGGAUUCACUGGGCGUAAAGGGCGCGUAGGCGGCGACAUCAGUCCGAUCUAUAAGUGCGGGGCUUAACCCCGUGAUGGGUUGGGGACGGUGUGGCUGGGGCGCGGCAGAGGGAGACGGAAUGCCGGGUGUAGUGGUGAAAUGCGUAGAGAUCCGGCGGAACACCGGUGGUGAAGACGGUCUCCUGGGCCGAGGUCCGACGCUGAGGCGCGAGAGCGUGGGGAGCGAACCGG
rnacentral:rRNA from 1 species